GGAGGGUGCAAGCGUUAAUCGGAAUUACUGGGCGUAAAGCGCACGCAGGCGGUUUGUUAAGUCAGAUGUGAAAUCCCCGGGCUCAACCUGGGAACUGCAUCUGAUACUGGCAAGCUUGAGUCUCGUAGAGGGGGUAGAAUUCCAGGUGUAGCGGUGAAAUGCGUAGAGAUCUGGAGGAAUACCGGUGGCGAAGGCGGCCCCCUGGACGAAGACUGACGCUCAGGUGCGAAAGCGUGGGGAGCAAACAGGAUUAGAUACCCUGGUAGUCCACGCCGUAAACGAUGUCGACUUGUAGGUUGUGCCCCUUGAGGCGUGGCUUCCGGAGCUAACGCGUUAAGUCGACCGCCUGGGGAUACGGCCGCAAGGUU
rnacentral:rRNA from 1 species